GAUGAACGCUGGCGGCGUGCCUAAUACAUGCAAGUCGAGCGAACGGACGAGAAGCUUGCUUCUCUGAUGUUAGCGGCGGACGGGUGAGUAACACGUGGAUAACCUACCUAUAAGACUGGGAUAACUUCGGGAAACCGGAGCUAAUACCGGAUAAUAUUUUGAACCGCAUGGUUCAAAAGUGAAAGACGGUCUUGCUGUCACUUAUAGAUGGAUCCGCGCUGCAUUAGCUAGUUGGUAAGGUAACGGCUUACCAAGGCAACGAUGCAUAGCCGACCUGAGAGGGUGAUCGGCCACACUGGAACUGAGACACGGUCCAGACUCCUACGGGAGGCAGCAGUAGGGAAUCUUCCGCAAUGGGCGAAAGCCUGACGGAGCAACGCCGCGUGAGUGAUGAAGGUCUUCGGAUCGUAAAACUCUGUUAUUAGGGAAGAACAUAUGUGUAAGUAACUGUGCACAUCUUGACGGUACCUAAUCAGAAAGCCACGGCUAACUACGCGCCAGCAGCCGCGGUAAUACGUAGGUGGCAAGCGUUAUCCGGAAUUAUUGGGCGUAAAGCGCGCGUAGGCGGUUUUUUAAGUCUGAUGUGAAAGCCCACGGCUCAACCGUGGAGGGUCAUUGGAAACUGGAAAACUUGAGUGCAGAAGAGGAAAGUGGAAUUCCAUGUGUAGCGGUGAAAUGCGCAGAGAUAUGGAGGAACACCAGUGGCGAAGGCGACUUUCUGGUCUGUAACUGACGCUGAUGUGCGAAAGCGUGGGGAUCAAACAGGAUUAGAUACCCUGGUAGUCCACGCCGUAAACGAUGAGUGCUAAGUGUUAGGGGGUUUCCGCCCCUUAGUGCUGCAGCUAACGCAUUAAGCACUCCGCCUGGGGAGUACGACCGCAAGGUUGAAACUCAAAGGAAUUGACGGGGACCCGCACAAGCGGUGGAGCAUGUGGUUUAAUUCGAAGCAACGCGAAGAACCUUACCAAAUCUUGACAUCCUUUGACAACUCUAGAGAUAGAGCCUUCCCCUUCGGGGGACAAAGUGACAGGUGGUGCAUGGUUGUCGUCAGCUCGUGUCGUGAGAUGUUGGGUUAAGUCCCGCAACGAGCGCAACCCUUAAGCUUAGUUGCCAUCAUUAAGUUGGGCACUCUAAGUUGACUGCCGGUGACAAACCGGAGGAAGGUGGGGAUGACGUCAAAUCAUCAUGCCCCUUAUGAUUUGGGCUACACACGUGCUACAAUGGACAAUACAAAGGGCAGCGAAACCGCGAGGUCAAGCAAAUCCCAUAAAGUUGUUCUCAGUUCGGAUUGUAGUCUGCAACUCGACUACAUGAAGCUGGAAUCGCUAGUAAUCGUAGAUCAGCAUGCUACGGUGAAUACGUUCCCGGGUCU
rnacentral:rRNA from 1 species